ensembl:lncRNA LOC102555808 uncharacterized LOC102555808
CUGAAAUGUAGAUGUUGGUUGAGCGGGACCCCAUUUGAAGCCCCAAGGAGUGGGUGAACUUCCCGUGUAUCUUCAGCAGUCCCUUGGCUUAUGGUUCUGGCUCCUGCCCCUGCCUUUCUUUCUCCUGGAUCUUUAUUACUUGCAAUCGUGCUGGGAGAACAAGUUGUUCCACUGAAACCUAUUUAUGACAGCCUGCUGUUGGGAGACUUAAUAUGGAAGAAUUGAGAGAAGCUGAGUUUCUCCGUGAAAUCCAACCUCUGUGAAAAUCCAGCACUCUUUGCAUGCAUAGUCGCCGAUCUGCCACGGCUGCCCACAAGCAUCCCAGGGUGAAAAAUCUCUCAGUCUAUUAACAGAGACAGAAAGGAACCUGUUCAAAAGCACUGUGCAUGACUGCUUGGAGAGGAAAGAGCUCAUUUAUCACGUUGCCCCAGGAGGUCACAGUGAUUGUCACAGCAUACCCAGACUGGCUCAACCUCAAGCAAGACAACAUCCCAGCGUGGGAAGGGGAGGUAGGUUGGCAUGAGACCACCACCAGCGGAGGAGCCAUUAGCAAUUGGUAGCUACUAUGAGAGGAAGGACCAGUUUCCUUCAAUGAUGUGAUUCUUGGUCCAGGCAAGAAGGUAGGGAUGAGGAUGCUCAACAAAGAGAGUAUUCGGCUAAAGACACAUUGACAGCCAAGACUUUUUUUUCUAGCUUCCUCUGGAGAAGGCUCAAAACCAAGUGCCCAAAAUUUUUGGGAAGAAACCCAGGUGCCAGCUCAAGAUGAUGGGGAAGAAGCAGGAUUCUGCUGGAGUUGACACUGCUGUACUACACAGACCUCAUCUGAUGUCCUGCCUGAUGGCUUCAGUGCAGGCAAACUACUUGUUCAGCCAUGAAGUUUGCCUGGCCCAUCUUUCACUAUUUCCGGCACAUAGGUUUGGAGGUUCCUUUUAAAAACUGGACUGUGUGUGUUUUACCGAUGCUUUCCAUGUCUACUUCUAAAGCUCAUGUUAUCUCCCUCUAGUUGGUUAUGGCCUGUGCAUCAGUCAUUACACUCCUUCUAGAUCUGCCAUAGAACAAACAAAUUUGGGGGAAAUGUAACUGGAAAUCAACACUUGGUGAUUGAGGGAAGCUUUGAAGUAUUUCAAACUCACCCAAAUGAUGACCCGAGCAUUGAGAGCACUUGUGUUCAACCUUUAUUAAAUCUUUCAACUCUGUAUUAUUUACCUGCUGGUAACCUCAGAGCUUGAACAAAUAUACAGGACAUCUAUUGAUACUAAAAACAUUCCAGAAUCAAGCAGCAGGAGGCUGUCAGGCAAUGUUCUUCUUUCUGCCUCAUCAUCUGAAGGCAACUGUUCUUUUUGAGGUUUAGGAAAGUCUGAACCAAGUGAGCAGGUUACAGAGAAUGCCGGGAAGAUGGAGAGAGGACCUCUGUGGGCAUCAGGAGGGAUGUGGCAAAGGAAUUUCCCUUUAAGAGCAGAGGUUGGGAAUUUCCACAUGAGUUCACAGAUUUCUAGACUGAUUAGUAUCUUUAAAUUAGUCUCUAGAGAGGUUGCAACCCAGAAGUGUGUGAGCAUCCCUGUCUCACAACCUCACCUUCAUGUACUCCGUGCUCUCAAGCCUUCUGGUCUGUUUUCUAUCAAGCACUAAUUUCAGGUAUUACCAAAAAGUCUGAUCUCCAAUAAAACCUAUGACCUUCUGAAGUGGUGUGUCUAUUUGAACAAUUGUCAACGUCACCCAAACCUGAU